CACCAGAGGAAAGGAACCAAAGAACCCAGAGUGAGGAACAGUCCUGUUUUUGGAAGGCUUUGCUGGAAAAGAAACAGUUUUAGGAGCUAUUUGUACAGCACCAACUAAUAAGAGAGGAGCUUCAAAAGAUUGUAUCAUACGCAUAAGCCCAGUCACCAAUGACAGGAAAUUUGGACCCCUCCUAUCCCUGCUCCUCUUCCCUCAUGUUCCAGGCCCCAAAUGCCUCUAGGUUUCUACUGCACAGAGGCAGAUGGACCACAGAAAGCCUGCAACCCUCUGCGAAUUAUUGGACAAGCCCCACACCACUUUACAGGACCUCGGGGGAAAUGUCAUGGACAAACUAAAGGGAGCAGGGGCUUAGCAGCUGGGCCAGCUGUGAAUGGGGUGCAUGCAACACCUCCCGUGCCAUCCUCCCAACCCUGUGAGACCCACUAGCAAAGGUGACCCCAGGAUGACCUGACAAGGGAAUAGCUGGAGUGCCUCCAUUCCCUCUACAGGAACUUUGAGGAGGACCACCAGGAGCACCAUACUGACCAGGAGCUGCAUCACACCAUCUGGGAGCAGCUAUCCCGGCAGAACAAGAACAUCCCUGAGCCCUCUUCCCCCUCCUUCCCUCUCCUGCG